AUGGCGGAUGACCUAAAGCGAUUCAUGUAUCAAAUGUUACAAAGUGUUGAAGGGCUCCAUGCUAUUGUUGUGUCAGAGUUGGAGUACCUGUUAUUAAAGUGGCCAUUGAUAAUGCUCCAGAGCAUGCUUUGAGACCUGGUUUCUUACCUACUUUUGCCCUUGCAACAGACCACGGGAGCAAACUUGGACUUUCAAAAAAUAAAAGUAUCAUCUGUUACUGUUACACCUACCUGGUGAUUCAGUUAAAUCAUUUACCUUUGGUGGUGAGUUUCAUAGCCAGCAGCAAUGCCAAUACAGAACUAAUUGUCAGCCUAGAAAAGAAACUUACUCCAUUAUUUGAAGAAUUGAGACAAGUUGUGGAAGUUUCUUA
rnacentral:lncRNA from 1 species